UACGUAGGGUGCGAGCGUUGCCCGGAUUUAUUGGGCGUAAAGGGCGCGUAGGCGGCCACGCAACGUCCGUUGUGAAAUCGCCCGGCUCAACUGGGCGGGGUCGGCGGAUACGGCGUGGCUGGAGCAAGCUAGGGGGCAAUGGAAUUCCCGGUGUAGUGGUGGAAUGCGUAGGAUAUCGGGAGGAACACCAGUGGCGAAGGCGGGUUGCCUGGAGCUUUGCUGGACGCUGAGGCGCGAAAGCGUGGGGGAGCAAACAGGG
rnacentral:rRNA from 1 species